rnacentral:lncRNA from 1 species
GCAGGCAGCACUGCUGUGAACACCCAGCAAGCAAGGCUGUUCUUGGAGGCAGGGCAGGCAGCACUGCUGUGAACACCCAGCACGCAAGGCUGUUCUUGGACCCACGAUCCUUGCAGGGCGCAGUUGUCUGUGGAAGGUGAACGGAAGGCGAAGGAGCACAGAUGUCACAGAAGACGGUGGGCAUCAACGUGUGCCAUGAAGCGAGAGUCUAGGGUCAGCCCCAGCCUUGCUCUCCGUGGGCUGUGCGCCAAGUGACCCUAGAGCACCUCUCAGCCUCCCUCUAUUCUGGGAAAUGGAAAUCCCCAUAGUUAGCUCCCGGCAACCCCACAUGUUGGACCUCAGCAGUGUCCAAGAGUGUUAGCCAAAACCAAAUUUAGCUUGGGCAGUUCUCACAAGUCUCUCCCAAUGAAGAUGGUUAUGAAGUUCUCCUGCAAACCUCCACUUGUCAUGAUGAAACACCAGGGACCGCACCUCAAACCCUGCCGUAAUCAACAGGAAACCUGGGUAGAACGGCGAUAAAUCCGCAGCUUUGCCUUGCUGUUACGCAGAAGCGAUGACACAACCUAGAUCACCGUUGCAAGGGCUUCUCUGAUAAAUCACAGUUCAUGAAAACAUGGAACAUGAUGUCGCCAUUAAUACAAGAACUAGAAACCAUUUAUGGAUUAAAGUAGAAAUAUCCUUAAAAUAAAGUGCUAUGGUUUUUUGGCUUUGUUUGUUUUUAGAUGAAGUCUCUCUGUGUCUGUUGCCCAAGCUGGAGUGCAGUGGCACGAUCUUGG